AGUGAACGCUGGCGGCGUGCCUAAUACAUGCAAGUCGAACGGAGUGGCGCACGGGUGAGUAAUAUAUAGCUAAUCUGCCCCUUGCUGGAGGACAACAGUUAGAAAUGACUGCUAAUACUCCAUAGCAAGGGAUGAGACUAUAUCGUAUAAGCUAGUCGGUGGGGUAACGGCCUACCGAGGCGAUGACGCGUAACUGGUCUGAGAGGAUGAUCAGACACAUUGGAGCUGAGACACGGUCCAAACUCCUGCGGGAGGCGGCAGAAGGGAAUAUUGCGCAAUGGGGGAAACCCUGACGGAGCAACGCCGCGUGAAGGAUGACACUUUUCGGAGCGUAAACUCCUUUUGUAAGGGAAGCGGUACCUAACGAAUAAGCACCGGCUAACUCCGUGCCAGCAGCCACGGAAUUC
rnacentral:rRNA from 1 species